rnacentral:ncRNA from 1 species
AGUAAAGCGUUGACGGAGCCAAGUAUAAGUAUAGGCCUUUCAGAGAGCCGGUGGGUGGUGGAAAUCGGCAGGGUAAAUUAUACGGAGCACUCCAGAGCACUGGGCUGAACAUUUUAUGAAAAUAGGCGCAGUCGGUUAGAACCCGUUACCGUUCCUGGUCUUUAAACAAAAGACCGCAGAGGCUGUAUGUGUGAGCAUACAGUAAAUUAGGGUGGUACCACGAUGAACGAACUCUCGUCCCUUUA